rnacentral:tRNA from 1 species
GGACCCUUAGCUCAGUUGGUUAGAGCAUCCGGCUCAUAACCGGUGGGUCACAGGUUCGAGUCCUGUAGGGUCCACCA